UAGUUGGUGAGGUAAAGGCUCACCAAGGCGACGAUCUGUAGCGGGUCUGAGAGGAUGAUCCGCCACACUGGAACUGAGACACGGUCCAGACUCCUACGGGAGGCAGCAGUGGGGAAUUUUGGACAAUGGGGGCAACCCUGAUCCAGCCAUGCCGCGUGAGUGAAGAAGGCCUUCGGGUUGUAAAGCUCUUUCGGCCGGGAAGAAAUCGCACAGGUCAAUACCCUGUGUGGAUGACGGUACCGGAAUAAGAAGCACCGGCUAACUACGUGCCAGCAGCCGCGGUAAUACGUAGGGUGCGAGCGUUAAUCGGAAUUACUGGGCGUAAAGCGUGCGCAGGCGGUUUUGUAAGACAGGCGUGAAAUCCCCGGGCUCAACCUGGGAACUGCGCUUGUGACUGCAAGGCUAGAGUACGGCAGAGGGGGGUGGAAUUCCACGUGUAGCAGUGAAAUGCGUAGAGAUGUGGAGGAACACCGAUGGCGAAGGCAGCCCCCUGGGCCGAUACUGACGCUCAUGCACGAAAGCGUGGGUAGCAAACGGGAUUAGAUACCCUGGUAGUCCACGCCCUAAACGAUGUCAACUAGGUGUUGGGUGGGUAAAACCAUUUAGUACCGUAGCUAACGCGUGAAGUUGACCGCCUGGGGAGUACGGCCGCAAGGUUAAAACUCAAAGGAAUUGACGGGGACCCGCACAAGCGGUGGAUGAUGUGGAUUAAUUCGAUGCAACGCGAAAAACCUUACCUACCCUUGACAUGUCCGGAAUCCCUGAGAGAUUGGGGAGUGCCCGAAAGGGAAUCGGAACACAGGUGCUGCAUGGCUGUCGUCAGCUCGUGUCGUGAGAUGUUGGGUUAAGUCCCGCAACGAGCGCAACCCUUGUCGUUAAUUGCCAUCAUUAAGUUGGGCACUUUAGCGAGACUGCCGG
rnacentral:rRNA from 1 species